rnacentral:rRNA from 1 species
UACGGAGGGUGCUAGCGUUGUUCGGAAUUACUGGGCGUAAAGCGCGUGUAGGCGGCCGAUUAAGUCUGGUGUGAAAGCCCGGGGCUCACCCCCGGAAGUGCGCUGGAAACUGGUCGGCUAGAGUAUGGGAGAGGAAAGUGGAAUUCCCGGUGUAGCGGUGAAAUGCGCAGAUAUCAGGAGGAACACCGGUGGCGAAGGCGGGUCUCUGGGCCGAUACUGACGCUGAGGAGCGAAAGCGUGGGGAGCGAACAGG